GCUUACGGCCACAACGCCUGGUUCACGCAACGCCUGGUUCACGCCCGAUCUCGUUUGAUCUCGGAAGCUAAGAUAGGUUGGGCCUGGUUAGUACUUGGAUGGGAGACCGCCUGGGAAUACCAGGUGCUGUAAGCU
ensembl:rRNA 5S_rRNA 5S ribosomal RNA